rnacentral:rRNA from 1 species
AAUGGGCGAGAGCUGAACCAGCCAAGUAGCGUGAAGGAUGACUGCCCUAUGGGUUGUAAACUUCUUUUAUAAAGGAAUAAAGUCGGGUAUGCAUACCCGUUUGCAUGUACUUUAUGAAUAAGGAUCGGCUAACUCCGUGCCAGCAGCCGCGGUAAUA